rnacentral:rRNA from 1 species
GACGAACGCUGGCGGCGUGCUUAACACAUGCAAGUCGAACGGAAAGGCCCUGCUUUUGUGGGGUGCUCGAGUGGCGAGCGGGUGAGUAACACGUGAGUAACCUGCCCUUGACUUUGGGAUAACUUCAGGAAACUGGGGCUAAUACCGGAUAGGAGCUCCUGCUGCAUGGUGGAGGUUGGAAAGUUUCGGCGGUUGGGGAUGGACUCGCGGCUUAUCAGCUUGUUGGUGGGGUAGUGGCUUACCAAGGCUUUGACGGGUAGCCGGCCUGAGAGGGUGACCGGCCACAUUGGGACUGAGAUACGGCCCAGACUCCUACGGGAGGCAGCAGUGGGGAAUAUUGCACAAUGGGCGGAAGCCUGAUGCAGCAACGCCGCGUGCGGGAUGACGGCCUUCGGGUUGUAAACCGCUUUCGCCUGUGACGAAGCGUGAGUGACGGUAAUGGGUAAAGAAGCACCGGCUAACUACGUG